CCUUCUUUUUCGCGCUUUCCUCGGAAUUACUGGGCGUAAAGCGUGCGCAGGCGGUUCGUUGUGUCGGCGGUGAAAGCCCCGGGCUCAACCUGGGAAUGGCCGUUGAAACUGGCGAACUGGAGUGUGGCAGAGGGGGGUGGAAUUCCGCGUGUAGCAGUGAAAUGCGUAGAGAUGCGGAGGAACACCGAUGGCGAAGGCAGCCCCCUGGGCUAACACUGACGCUCAGGCACGAAAGCGUGGGGAGCAAACAGGA
rnacentral:rRNA from 1 species